CCUCAAUCCCUCCCCGUCCUGCCAGUUCUCCCAGUCCCCCGCGUCAUCUCCCCAGUCCUUCCUAGUCCCUUACAAUCCCCUUGUCACUUCUCCCAGUGUGACCACUGUGGACAGGUGUGUGUCGGCAUGUCCAGGUGUGUGUGAGCAUAUCCAGGUGUGCACAGGUGUGUGUCAGUGUCUGUGUCUGAGUGUGCCUGGGCAUCUCUGGGUGUGCAAAGCCUGUGCCAGCACCGCCUGCCCAACUGCAUUUCUGGGGUUCUGCAGGUGUCCCUCACCUACACACGGGAUCAUUGUGCGUGUCACCGUGUGUGUCACACACCUGCACACGGGAUCAUUGUGCAUGUCACUGCAUGUGUCACACACCUGCACAUGGGAUCAUUGUACGUGUCACCGCGUGUGUCACACACCUGCACACAGGAUCAUUGUAUGUGUCACCGCGUGUGUCACACACCUGCACAUGGGAUCACUGUGCAUGUCACCAUGUGUGUCACACACCUGCCACACACACCUGCACACAGGAUCAUUGCAGAGGUCACAAACCUGCACACAGGAUGGUCACAUGUAACUGCAUGUGUUAUACACCUGCACACGGGAUCACUACGCAUGUCACACACCUUUACAUGGGAUAGUCAUGUGUCAUGCAUCUUUAUACAGGAUGGUCACGUGUCACUGUGCAUGUCCCACACAUUUACAUGGGAUGAUCACGUGUCACACACCUUUACACAGGAUAAUCACAUGUCACUGCAUGUGUCACACACUUUUACUCAGCCUCCAAAGUGCACACACAUGUCUGGGCAUGGGAGACAUGUGUGGGGUGUGUCCCUGCAUGUCACAUGCACGCAUGCGUCCCCAUGCCCGGACACGUGUGUAACCCCCUCCACCUCCACCUCUCCCCCCCGUGCCGGGAAAGGGGAGGGGAGGGGCUGGAGUGGGGGAGGAGCGGGAAUGGGCUCAUGGAAAAAGUUUUGGGUGGAAAUUUUUCUCCUCACCCCUCCCCCACUAUGGGGAGGCUCAAUGGCCCCUUUGUGUGGCCCCGGCCCUGUCCCUGCCACGCUCGGACCCCCCCACCCCGUGUGUCUCGCCCAAUCCCUGUGUCCCCCCCG
rnacentral:lncRNA from 1 species